rnacentral:rRNA from 1 species
UACGUAGGGUGCAAGCGUUGUCCGGAAUUAUUGGGCGUAAAGAGCUCGUAGGCGGUUUGUCGCGUCUGCUGUGAAAACUCGGGGCUUAACUCCGGGCUUGCAGUGGGUACGGGCAGACUAGAGUGCGGUAGGGGAGACUGGAAUUCCUGGUGUAGCGGUGAAAUGCGCAGAUAUCAGGAGGAACACCGAUGGCGAAGGCAGGUCUCUGGGCCACUACUGACGCUGAGAAGCGAAAGCAUGGGGAGCGAACAGG